rnacentral:rRNA from 1 species
UACGUAGGGUGCGAGCGUUAAUCGGAAUUACUGGGCGUAAAGCGUGCGCAGGCGGCUUCGCAAGUCAGGCGUGAAAUCCCCGGGCUUAACCUGGGAAUGGCGUCUGAAACUACGGAGCUGGAGUGUGGCAGAGGGAGGUAGAAUUCCACGUGUAGCGGUGAAAUGCGUAGAUAUCGGGAGGAACAUCAGUGGCGAAGGCGACCGCCUGGCCCAACACUGACGCUGAGGUGCGAAAGCGUGGGUAGCAAACAGG